CUUUUGUUAGUUCUAAUUCUGAAAGAGAAGACAUUCUAUGUAACUGCAAACUUACAGUGUGAAGAAAUGGAAGAAGGAGCAUUGCAUGCACUGGUUCCUAAUGGACAAGGGAAUUUAGAGAUUAAGAGAGAAUCCGUACCUCUGUUGGGUUCUAGUCGUUUUGCACUAGCGGUCUUAGGAUUUUUUGGACU